GACAGAGGAUGCAAGCGUUAUCCGGAAUGAUUGGGCGUAAAGCGUCUGUAGGUGGCUUUUCAAGUCCGCCGUCAAAUCCCAGGGCUCAACCCUGGACAGGCGGUGGAAACUACCAAGCUGGAGUACGGUAGGGGCAGAGGGCUCGUAGAGCCGGUGGAGCGGUGAAAUGCGCAGAUAUCGGGAGGAACACCAAUGGCGAAGGCAGCUCGCUGGGACGUGACUGACGCUGAGAC
rnacentral:rRNA from 1 species